ACGAAGGCUGCUGACAGAGCGUGGUAUUGAGUACACGGCGAAGAAGAAUGAUAGUCUCUUUCGGAUGAACUUUGAGCUUGGAAUUUGUUUCUCUGCUACGUUUUGAAAUCUCGUCUUCGAUGUCCCAAAGGUUCGGUUGUGGAUGUUGGUUCCCGCAUCGAUCGAGUUGGUCGCUACUGUGUGGCAGUUGGCUGUGAACUGAAAUGUCUGUCGUCAGAGAUUAUCUUCAACUUCGCUGUUAACUCAAUGUCGAUGUUCUGGCCGAUGU